CCUACGGGAGGCAGCAGUGGGGAAUAUUGCACAAUGGGGGAAACCCUGAUGCAGCGACGCCGCGUGAGUGAAGAAGUAUUUCGGUAUGUAAAGCUCUAUCAGCAGGGAAGAAAAUGACGGUACCUGACUAAGAAGCCCCGGCUAAAUACGUGCCAGCAGCCGCGGUAAUACGUAGGGGGCAAGCGUUCUCCGGAUUUACUGGGUGUAAAGGGAGCGUAGACGGCGGUGCAAGCCAGAUGUGAAAGCCCGGGGCUCAAACCCGGGACUGCAUUUGGAACUGUGCUGCUAGAGUGUCGGAGAGGCAGGCGGAAUUCCGAGUGUAGCGGUGAAAUGCGUAGAUAUACGGAGGAACACCAGUGGCGAAGGCGGAUUGCUGGACAGUAACUGACGCUGAGGCGCGAAAGCGUGGGGAGCAAACAGGAUUAGAUACCCUUGUAGUC
rnacentral:rRNA from 1 species